AUUGAACGCUGGCGGCAGGCCUAACACAUGCAAGUCGAACGGUAACAGGAAGAAGCUUGCUUCUUUGCUGACGAGUGGCGGACGGGUGAGUAAUGUCUGUGAAACUGCCUGAUGGAGGGGGAUAACUACUGGAAACGGUAGCUACUACCGCAUAACGUCGCAAGACCAAAGAGGGGGACCUUCGGGCCUCUUGCCAUCGGAUGUGCCCAGAUGGGAUUAGCUAGUAGGUGGGGUAACGGCUCACCUAGGCGACGAUCCCUAGCUGGUCUGAGAGGAUGACCAGCCACACUGGAACUGAGACACGGUCCAGACUCCUACGGGAGGCAGCAGUGGGGAAUAUUGCACAAUGGGCGCAAGCCUGAUGCAGCCAUGCCGCGUGUAUGAAGAAGGCCUUCGGGUUGUAAAGUACUUUCAGCGGGGAGGAAGGGAGUAAAGUUAAUACCUUUGCUCAUUGACGUUACCCGCAGAAGAAGCACCGGCUAACUCCGUG
rnacentral:rRNA from 1 species